GAUAGAGAAAGAAAGAUGAUGAAGAAAGGAAAAGGACAAAGACAUGAAAAAGGAAAAAGGUCCAGCGGUUCAGAGUGGCUUAGCGGACCCCGGUUACGGCGCAGUAUUAACGCGAUGAAGCGCAUUAAAGGUGAAGGCAGUCACGGGAACACAGCAACAAGAAGGAAAGAACGGGAAGAAGUGCAGUGAAGGAGGCAAAACUGUAUGUAGUCUGUCUUUGUGGUAAGUGUGGUGAUCAGCAGAAUACAAACUGGUGGUCAGCAGAAUACAAAAUGGUGAUCAGCAGAAUACAAACUGGUGAUCAGCAGAAUACAAACUGGUUGGUGAUCAGCAGAAUACAAAAUAGUGGUCAGCAGAAUACAAACUGGUGGUCAGCAGAAUACAAAAUAGUGGUCAGCAGAAUACAAACUGGUGAUCAGCAGAAUACAAAAUCAUUCACAUUGAAUAGAAAACUACGGAAUCUUCUUAAACUAUUAUAAAAAUCAUGAAGAACAAGAACAAAAACAGAAACAAGAACAUGAAAAAGAUCAACAAGAACAAGA